rnacentral:sRNA from 1 species
GCAGGUGCUACCUUCCUCCCCCACUGCUCCAUGAGUGUCCCUCCCAAGCUGUGUGCUCAGUGGAGGAGGAUGACUUUCUUCAAUGGAGGAAGAUCAUUCUUUGUUCAAGGGUAUUAGAGUAGCUGUGCUCCCUCACUUGAACCUCCAAACAAGCCACAUUUUUUUUUGUCUCCCACCCCAUAAUCUCUCUCCACAUGCACAGAGACACUUUAAGUUUCAAUACUUUUUACUCUAAAAUUUUGACAUAUGU